UACAGAGGGGGCAAGCGUUGUUCGGAAUUACUGGGCGUAAAGGGCGCGUAGGCGGCCUGCUAAGUCGAACGUGAAAUCCCUGGGCUCAACCCAGGAACUGCGUCCGAUACUGGUUGGCUUGAAUCCGGGAGAGGGACGUGGAAUUCCAGGUGUAGCGGUGAAAUGCGUAGAUAUCUGGAGGAACACCGGUGGCGAAGGCGACGUCCUGGACCGGUAUUGACGCUGAGGCGCGAAAGCCAAGGGAGCAAACGGG
rnacentral:rRNA from 1 species